AAGAAAAGAAAUGAAAAGAGAAAAAGAGACAGAACUGGAGACCCCGGGCCUCCAGGCAUGGGGCUCUGUGAAACUGGCUGGCUGGCAGCUUGGAACUCGCAAGGUGCUGGAAAGGCAGAAGAUUAUGUUUGGAAAAAAAUUUAGAUCCUGGUGAUUAAAGGAGAAGGAGAUGCUGUAUGUUUUCCCAGUAAGCGUAAUGCCAUCAAGCCGCUGCACACUGCCUUAUCCGACUGCGGAACGAUCCUUCGGCUUCCAGUUCUACAGGACUUUUCAUCACAAAGGGAUGCUUAGUUUUGUAAAAGACUUUUUCCUGCAUCUACUGAAGUAGUUAUGUAUUUAUUUUUCUUUUUAUUUAUGUGCAACAUUACAUUUAUUGAUCUGUGUAUAUUAUUUGUCUUUAUAGUCUAUAAUAAAAUCAACUUG